CAUCGCUCUCUGUAAUUACAAGAUAGGGAGUCGAACCUGCCCAGUGAAAUUUUUCAACGGCCGCGGGUACUCUGACCGUGCAAAGGUAGCAUAAUCAUUUGCCUUAUAAUUGAAGGCUAGUAUGAAUGGUCUGACGAGAGCAAUUCUGUCUCCUUUUUAUUUUAUAGAAUUUGACUUUUAGGUGAAGAGGCCUAAAUUUUAUUGAAGGACAAGAAGACCCUGUCGAGCUUAAAAAGAAGACAGAAAACCUUAUACUGUUUUUAGAUAUAUAACUGUUAAUCUUUUUUGGUUGGGGCGACCAAGGAACAGAAAAAGCUUCCUCUAACUCUACUUAAAACUUAUAUGUUUUGAUCCAGUCAGAACUGAUUAAAAAAAUUAGUUACCGCAGGGAUAACAGCAUAAUCUCCUUUAAGAGAUCAAAUCGAAAAGGGGGGUUGUGACCUCGAUGUUGGACUAGAAUAUCCUAAAGAUGCAGAAGUCUUUAAAGGUUGGUCUGUUCGACCAUUAAAAUUCUAC
rnacentral:rRNA from 1 species